GACGUAGGGCGCGAGCGUUGUCCGGAUUUAUUGGGCGUAAAGAGCUCGUAGGCGGCUUGUCGCGUCGGCUGUGAAAUCCCGUGGCUCAACUGCGGGUCUGCAGCCGAUACGGGCAGGCUAGAGUUCGGUAGGGGAGACUGGAAUUCCUGGUGUAGCGGUAAAAUGCGCAGAUAUCAGGAGGAACACCGGUGGCGAAGGCGGGUCUCUGGGCCGAUACUGACGCUGAGGAGCGAAAGCGUGGGGAGCGAACAGG
rnacentral:rRNA from 1 species